rnacentral:rRNA from 1 species
GUAGGGUGCGAGCGUUAAUCGGAAUUACUGGGCGUAAAGCGUGCGCAGGCCGGUUUGUAAGACAGAUGUGAAAUCCCCGGGCUUAACCUGGGAACUGCAUUUGUGACUGUAAGACUAGAGUACGGCAGAGGGGGGUAGAAUUCCACGUGUAGCAGUGAAAUGCGUAGAUAUGUGGAGGAAUACCGAUGGCGAAGGCAGCCCCCUGGGUCGAUACUGACGCUCAUGCACGAAAGCGUGGGGAGCAAACAGGAUUAGAUACCCUGGUAGUCCACGCCCUAAACGAUGUCAACUAGGUGUUGGGGGAGGAGACUUCCUUANNNNNNNNACKAACGCGUGAAGUUGACCGCCUGGGGAGUACGGCCGCAA